UGAUUGUUCAUAACACCACAUUAGGUAGCA
rnacentral:piRNA from 1 species